rnacentral:rRNA from 1 species
GACGAACGCUGGCGGCGUGCUUAACACAUGCAAGUCGAACGGAAAGGCCCUUCGGGGUACUCGAGUGGCGAACGGGUGAGUAACACGUGGGUGAUCUGCCCUGCACUUUGGGAUAAGCCUGGGAAACUGGGUCUAAUACCGAAUAGGACCACGCGCUUCAUGGUGUGUGGUGGAAAGCUUUUUCGGUGUGGGAUGGGCCCGCGGCCUAUCAGCUUGUUGGUGGGGUAAUGGCCUACCAAGGCGACGACGGGUAGCCGGCCUGAGAGGGUGACCGGCCACACUGGGACUGAGAUACGGCCCAGACUCCUACGGGAGGCAGCAGUGGGGAAUAUUGCACAAUGGGCGCAAGCCUGAUGCAGCGACGCCGCGUGAGGGAUGACGGCCUUCGGGUUGUAAACCUCUUUCAAUAGGGACGAAGCGCAAGUGACGGUACCUAUAGAAGAAGCACCGGCCAACUACGUG